CAGUGUAGACCAAGCAUAGCGUGCUUUAGUUUGGUAACCCGAAACUAAGUGAGCUACUCCAAGACAGCCUAUUAAUAGGGCAAACCCGUCUCUGUGGCAAAAGAGUGGGAAGAGCUUUGAGUAGAGGUGACAGACCUACCGAACUUAGUUAUAGCUGGUUGCCUGGGAAUUGGAUAGAAGUUCAGCCUCAAGGGUUCUUUAUUCACCUCAGUUUUACCCCCUCUGAUAUAUUUAAGAAACCACGAGAGUUAGUCAAAGGGGGUACAGCCCCUUUGAAUCAAGAUACAACUUUUCCAGGAGGGUAAAGAUCAUAAUUACAAAGGUAAGGUAUUUGGGUGG
rnacentral:rRNA from 1 species